rnacentral:rRNA from 2 species
AGAGUUUGAUCCUGGCUCAGGACGAACGCUGGCGGCGUGCCUAAUACAUGCAAGUCGAACGAGAGCGACCGGUGCUUGCACUGGUCAAUCUAGUGGCGAACGGGUGAGUAACACGUGGGUAACCUGCCCAUCAGAGGGGGAUAACAUUCGGAAACGGAUGCUAAAACCGCAUAGGUCUUCGAACCGCAUGGUUUGAAGAGGAAAAGAGGCGCAAGCUUCUGCUGAUGGAUGGACCCGCGGUGCAUUAGCUAGUUGGUGAGGUAACGGCUCACCAAGGCCGUGAUGCAUAGCCGACCUGAGAGGGUGAUCGGCCACAUUGGGACUGAGACACGGCCCAAACUCCUACGGGAGGCAGCAGUAGGGAAUCUUCCGCAAUGGACGCAAGUCUGACGGAGCAACGCCGCGUGAGUGAAGAAGGUUUUCGGAUCGUAAAACUCUGUUGUUAGAGAAGAACAAGUGCUAGAGUAACUGUUAGCGCCUUGACGGUAUCUAACCAGAAAGCCACGGCUAACUACGUGCCAGCAGCCGCGGUAAUACGUAGGUGGCAAGCGUUGUCCGGAUUUAUUGGGCGUAAAGCGAGCGCAGGCGGUUCCUUAAGUCUGAUGUGAAAGCCCCCGGCUCAACCGGGGAGGGUCAUUGGAAACUGGGGAACUUGAGUGCAGAAGAGGAGAGUGGAAUUCCAUGUGUAGCGGUGAAAUGCGUAGAUAUAUGGAGGAACACCAGUGGCGAAGGCGACUCUCUGGUCUGUAACUGACGCUGAGGCUCGAAAGCGUGGGUAGCAAACAGGAUUAGAUACCCUGGUAGUCCACGCCGUAAACGAUGAGUGCUAAGUGUUGGUCUCAUAAGAGAUCAGUGCUGCAGCUAACGCAUUAAGCACUCCGCCUGGGGAGUACGACCGCAAGGUUGAAACUCAAAGGAAUUGACGGGGACCCGCACAAGCGGUGGAGCAUGUGGUUUAAUUCGA